ensembl:snRNA U6 U6 spliceosomal RNA
GUGCUUGCUUCAGCAACACAUAUACUAACAUUGGAAUGAUACAGAGAAGAUUAGCAUGGCCAUUAAAUAAAAAUAAAAAUAAAAACAUUGAUUUUCUUUUAUCUUUC